CGGAGGAACCGCGGCCGCUCGCAGCCCACCUUCCCCUCCUCCCCGCCGCGGGGCGAGGCCGCCGGCCGACACUUCAGCACCACGUCGGCCCUGAACAGCAGCGGGAGCGGCGGCGCCGGGGGCCUUCCCCCCCGCCGCUCGCCUUCCCGCCCUCGCGGUCCCCUCAGGUUGCAGGGAAGAUGUUAUGAUUCCCUUCACCCUUCAGCAGGCAAUUUUUGAACUACAGAAAAUGCAGAAAUGCUGACGAGGAAUCGCUCCAGCAGCCGGGACCAGCUCCUCUGCCCAACACGCUUCAUCCCUUAAAAGCUGGAUACUCUCCCCAUUACUGCUGGCAGGAGCUGGUGGCUGAUGCCACGUCGCCAGGUGAUGCUGAGCUGGGUGAGCAGCAGGACAGACGUCCCACACAGGAGAUGUCGGCCUGACCGACGGCCGCUGGCGAUGCUCGGGGUGGUGAGCAGCGCGGGAGCUGCUGCCAGCACCGGGCGGCGGUUUUGAGUCGCAGCACCGUGGGUUUUCUCCGUUUAUUUUUCCCCUCACACAGGACUAGGCAGUCAUGUCAGGUCAAACAUUUCAUCAAUUCUUGUUUUGUUCGUUAUAUUUUUUAGAAAAUAAAAAAAAAAAAAAAUCAUUUUUUCUUCCCAAGUCAGACUCUUUCACACCGGUUGUCUCAGAAGCAUUUGACACUUUUUCUGUGCUGACAUUUCCUCACCAAAUGUACCCCAGUGUAAUUCAAAGAAGUAAUUUAGACUCCAAAAUGAAACAUUUCACCUGGUUCAGCUGCCCUUUUCUCCUACCAAGCCCAGCUGAACUUUUUCUAUCUCCAUUUCACCCAAAAGAAACUCCUUUCCUGAUGUUUUUUCUUGGCUCAUGGUCUGGAGAAACCUGUUCUGGUUGCUGCCUCCCCAUCAGCUCCCCGGUGCAUAUAUUUAAGGUGCAAAUGUAACACAUAAGCAGCCAAGUAAUCACACAGAUAGAAUAAAAAUAUGUAUUUCGGGUGCUCACUGGGACUUUCUGAAUGUUUGAGACCUCUCGGUAGUUUCAAUCAGCCACCAUUAGA